rnacentral:rRNA from 1 species
GUAGGUGGCAAGCGUUGUCCGGAAUUAUUGGGCGUAAAGCGCGCGCAGGCGGUUCUUUAAGUCUGAUGUGAAAGCCCACGGGCUCAACCGUGGAGGGUCAUUGGAAACUGGAGGACUUGAGUACAGAAGAGGAAAGCGGAAUUCCACGUGUAGCGGUGAAAUGCGUAGAGAUGUGGAGGAACACCAGUGGCGAAGGCGGCUUUCUGGUCUGUAACUGACGCUGAGGCGCGAAAGCGUGGGGAGCAAACAGGAUUAGAUACCCUGGUAGUCCACGCCGUAAACGAUGAGUGCUAAGUGUUAGGGGGUUUCCGCCCCUUAGUGCUGCAGCUAACGCAUUAAGCACUCCGCCUGGGGAGUACGGCCGCAAGGCUA